CGCCUGGGGAGUACGACCGCAAGGUUGAAACUCAAAGGAAUUGACGGGGGCCCGCACAAGCGGUGGAGCAUGUGGUUUAAUUCGAAGCAACGCGAAGAACCUUACCAGGUCUUGACAUCCCAGUGCCCGCUCUAGAGAUAGAGUUUUUCUUCGGAACACUGGAGACAGGUGGUGCAUGGUUGUCGUCAGCUCGUGUCGUGAGAUGUUGGGUUAAGUCCCGCAACGAGCGCAACCCUUAUUGUUAGUUGCCAUCAUUAAGUUGGGCACUCUAGCGAGACUGCCGGUAAUAAACCGGAGGAAGGUGGGGAUGACGUCAAAUCAUCAUGCCCCUUAUGACCUGGGCUACACACGUGCUACAAUGGCUGGUACAACGAGCGGCAAGUCGGUGACGGCAAGCAAAUCUCUCAAAGCCAGUCUCAGUUCGGAUUGUAGGCUGCAACUCGCCUACAUGAAGUCGGAAUCGCUAGUAAUCGCGGAUCAGCACGCCGCGGUGAAUACGUUCCCGGGCCUUGUACACACCGCCCGUCACACCACGAGAGUUUGUAACACCCGAAGUCGGUGAGGUAACCAUUUAGGAGCCAGCCGCCUAAGGUGGGAUAGAUGAUUGGGGUGAAGUCGUAACAAGGUAGCCGUAUCGGAAGGUGCGGCUGGAUCACCUCCUUU
rnacentral:rRNA from 1 species